GGAUUAGAUACCCUGGUAGUCCAUGCCGUAAACGUUGGGCACUAGGUGUGGGGGACAUUCCACGUUUUCCGCGCCGUAGCUAACGCAUUAAGUGCCCCGCCUGGGGAGUACGGCCGCAAGGCUAAAACUCAAAGGAAUUGACGGGGGCCCGCACAAGCGGCGGAGCAUGCGGAUUAAUUCGAUGCAACGCGAAGAACCUUACCAAGGCUUGACAUGGACCGGACCGCUGCAGAGAUGUAGCUUCCCUUCGGGGCUGGUUCACAGGUGGUGCAUGGUUGUCGUCAGCUCGUGUCGUGAGAUGUUGGGUUAAGUCCCGCAACGAGCGCAACCCUUGUCCUAUGUUGCCAGCACGUAAAGGUGGGGACUCAUGGGAGACUGCCGGGGUCAACUCGGAGGAAGGUGGGGAUGACGUCAAAUCAUCAUGCCCCUUAUGUCUUGGGCUUCACGCAUGCUACAAUGGCCGGUACAGUGGGUUGCGAUACUGUGAGGUGGAGCUAAUCCCUAAAAGCCGGUCUCAGUUCGGAUCGAAGUCUGCAACUCGACUUCGUGAAGUUGGAGUCGCUAGUAAUCGCAGACCAGCAACGCUGCGGUGAAUACGUUCCCGGGCCUUGUACACACCGCCCGUCAAGUCACGAAAGUUGGUAACACCCGAAGCCCAUGGCCCAACCCUUGUGGAGGGAAUGGUCGAAGGUGGGACUAGCGAUUGGGACUAAGUCGUAACAAG
rnacentral:rRNA from 1 species